rnacentral:rRNA from 1 species
GACGAACCGGACAAACGUUAUUCGGAAUUACUGGGCUUAAAGGGUUUGUAGGCGGCCUUGUAAGUCAGGUGUGAAAUCCCUCGGCUCAACCGAGGAAUGGCGCUUGAUACUGCACGGCUUGAGGGAGACAGGGGUAAGCGGAACUGAUGGUGGAGCGGUGAAAUGCGUUGAUACCAUCAGGAACACCGGUGGCGAAAGCGGCUUACUGGGUCUCUUCUGACGCUGAGGAACGAAAGCUAGGGGAGCGAACGGG